GACGGAGGGGGCUAGCGUUGUUCGGAAUUACUGGGCGUAAAGCGCGUGUAGGCGGGUCUUUAAGUCAGGGGUGAAAUCCCGAGGCUCAACCUCGGAACUGCCUUUGAUACUGGGGAUCUCGAGUCCGGGAGAGGUGAGUGGAACUGCGAGUGUAGAGGUGAAAUUCGUAGAUAUUCGCAAGAACACCAGUGGCGAAGGCGGCUCACUGGCCCGGAACUGACGCUGAGGUGCGAAAGCGUGGGGAGCAAACAGG
rnacentral:rRNA from 1 species